AAUGGAUUUAGGGCUGUGCAGAAUGUGCUUUGUUAAACAAGUGCUUGAAGGCAGUAUGCUUGGUAAAAGUCAUCGCCAUUCUCUAAUCUUGAGUACCCAGGGACACGAUACACUGCGGAAGGCUGCAGGGACCUCUGCCCAGGAAAGCCAGGGAUCACUCUAAGCUCCAGUGUCAAGGAGUCAAGUCCUUCAGGAAUUCUCUGCCUCCACUCCCUGUGGCAGAGCUAGAGUGGCUGCCAUGCUUCUGAGCUCAGCCAGCAUCCAGAGAGAGAGUGAGAUACAGCCUCCUCUUCUUGAAGCACCCACUUCUAAACUCUGUGACAGUUUUCUUGGAACUCUGUUAUGUGGAUCUGGAGAUGACAAUGUCACAGCACUCCCCUCUAAGCCUAAAUUCCCCCACACCGAUGAACUAUUAGGAUCCAGUAUCUGCCGGAGGAGCCCCACCUUCUGCUACUAUUAUGUUCUUCAGAUGAGUAGAAGAGAGUGGGGAGGGAGAGAGCAGGAAGAAGAAAGGAAGAAUAAUGUCUUGAAAUUGUUUUCUAAGGAUAAUGGUCUCCAGCUUCGUCAAUGUUCCUGCAAAGGACAUGAUGCUGACUUUGAAGAUGCAAGCUUCCACAUCUACAGCCUCAAGGAAACAAAUUCAGCCAACCAACUGAGGGAGCUUUCCUUGUCCUGCCUCAAGAUGAGAUCACAGUCUGCCCAACACCAUGAUUUAGGCCUUGUGACACCUGGGAUAAAAAUUUACCUGGAUGCAAGGCUAUUCAGAAUGAAGAUUAAUGAUAUGGUUUGGCUGUGUCCCCACCCAAACUUCAUCUUGAAUUCCCACGUGUUGUGAGAGGGACCUGGUGGGAGAUAAUUGAACCAUGGGGGCAGGUCUUUCUCAUGCUGUUCUCAUGAGAGUGAAUAAGUCUCAUGAAACCUGAUGGUUUUAUAAGGGGGAAUUUCCCUGCACAAGCUCUCUCUCUGCCUUUUGCCAUCCAUGUAAGACGUGACUUGGUCCUCCUUGCCUUCUACCAUGAUUAUGAGGCCUCCCCAGCCACGUGGAACUGUGAGUCCAUUAAACCUCUUUCUUUUGUAAAUUU
ensembl:lncRNA HISLA HIF1A stabilizing long noncoding RNA